AGGUGACUGGGUCAAAUAAAGGAGUUGGAUUUGGUAUUGUUCGGGGACUUUGCCAGAAGUUCCAUGGAGAUGUGUACCUUACUUCAAGAGACAAAAGACGAGGACGAGACGCUGUUCGUGAGUUGGAGAAAGAAGGGUUAUCACCGAAGUUUCACCAAUUAGAUGUAACAGACAAAAGAAGCAUUUACACAAUUAAAAACUUUCUUGAGAAAACUUACGGUGGCUUAGAUAUACUCGUUAAUAAUGCAGGCAUUAUGAAAUCAUUUCAUACAAAGGAGGAAGGCAACAAAGUUAUCGAGACGAAUUAUGUAAGCGUUGUCAACAUUUCGAAAGCCCUAUUUCCUCUCCUUAGACCAAAUGCUAGAGUCGUCAAUGUUUCAAGUAGAAUGGGCAACUUUACAGCUUUUAAUAUGAAAGAAGAGACAAAAAUGAAGUUUGCCAGUCCAAACCUUACAGUGAAAGAACUUAAUAACCUUGUUUGGGAAUACUACAAUCUUUUUGAUUGUCCUAACUUUAAUCCUAAUCUUUAUAUUGGACAAUUUGCAUAUGGUGUCUCCAAAUUGGGACUUAACCGGUUGACGAGUAUAUUACAGCGUGAUAUGUCUGCCGAUCAGAGACGCAUUUUGGUUAAUUCAUGCUGUCCUGGGUAUGUAGACACAGACAUGUCGGAUCAUAAAGGCCUCCUGACGGUAGAUCAAGGAGCUGACACUCCAGUCUAUCUUGCACUUCUGCCAACAGACGAGAAAUCCAUAGCAGGUGAAAUGGUUUGUGAAAGGGUGGUAGUAAAGUGGGAUCAACGGGAUUUACAUCCUAAUCCACUGAUAAAGUCUAUGAUGCCUUCUUUGAAAAGUUUAUUAUGACUGAAACUUAUGCAAAAAUUACAAUUUCAAUUCAGUAUCGCAUAACUAUUUAAGCAAAAUAACUCCUGAAUAGGAUUCACAACAAGAAACUUUAACUACAACACAAUUAAAUGAUUAUUACGAAUAAUUAAUUGAACAAAAAAAAAAAU
rnacentral:lncRNA from 1 species